rnacentral:lncRNA from 1 species
UUAUGUUCUAAAAAAUCAUUAAAACAUAAGUCCAACAGUUAUGCGUGAAGAGUGAAACACCUCUAAAAACAACACUGAAAUAAAAAAGGGAAUAUAAUCCUUGAACCAUAGCUGCCGCUGGUGCACAGAAAUACACCAACACGACACCCUUUCAAUCGGGGAAUCCGCCGCACGUGGAGGGCUGCAUCAGCCGAAGUUCUACAUUGCAGUAUUUCAAGAUGAUUAACAUUGAACCACCAUUUUUGAUGUUGGUUGUUUUCAAACCAAAAUCCGAUCUUGAUUUUAAAAAUCCAAUUUCAAAAUUUCAACUUAAAUUUUAAUUAACCCACGAAAAAAUUGAGAUUGGUUUUGCUUUUACCGUUUUGGGCGACAGUGGUCUGAUGCGGCGGCACUAGGGCAGCGAUUGACAACAGAGAAAUGGCGGCGGAGUCUUCGAUUGAGUUUGGUGAGCUAUGGAAUAGCGAUGAGAGGUUAUGGAAUCUGGAAAAGAGUUGACGAAAGGGGUUUCGGAUAUUGAGAAUUUUUCUUUAAAAUCAUAGGAGAAGAAUAGAAACAGAGAGAGAUUGGUUUUGCUUUUACCGUUUGGGAGACGUUGGUCUGAUGCGGCGGCGCUAGGGCGGCAGUUGACGAUCGAGAAAUGGUGGCCGAAUCUUCAAUUGAGUUUGGUGAGCGAUGGAUCGACGAAGAGCGGUUAUAGAAUCUGGAAGAGAAAGAGAGUGGAUGAAAAGGGUUUCAGAAUCGUGGAGAAGAAUUCAAUCGUGGUUAAUAUUAGUUUGAAAGAACGUGGGAGAGAUAAAAUCUGGCACUAAAAUUUACCGUUAAACUGGUGUUUUAUAUAAUAUAUAGAUUUCUUCCGAGUUUCUUAUCUUUUAUUUGUUUCUC